GCCCCCGUAGCUUAACGGACAGAGUCCCGGUCUUCGGAACCGGUUGUGGGGGUUCGAUUCCUCCCGGGGGCGCCA
rnacentral:tRNA from 1 species